rnacentral:misc_RNA from 1 species
AAACUGCGAUAAGUAGUGUGAAUUGCAUUUAGUGAAUCAUCUAAUCUUUGAACGCACCCUGCACUCACUGGUAUUCCGGUGAGUACGCCUGUUUCAGUAUCAUUGAAAACACACAAUCAAAACAUUUUCUUUGGUUUGAUUGGCUUUGGGUCUAUCAAAAAGUUUGGCUUGUUUCUUACAAGCCAAGCGGCCUGAAAUAUAUUUUCUGGCUAAUUGCAUCGUUGAUGAUCGCUAUUAGACUUUGGCUUUUUUAAAUGAACUGGAGGUUGAUUAACCAGUUUUAGCUUUAGUCAAAUGGUCAUUGUAAAAAAAAUCUCGAUCUUGGCUAGGUGUUUAUAGCCGAAAAUUUUUUUUUGGCUAUAACCGAAACCAAUAUAAUCACAUUUAGUUAUCGAUCUGAAAUCAGGUGGGACUACCCGCUGAACUUAAGC